rnacentral:rRNA from 1 species
CCUACGGGUGGCAGCAGUGGGGAAUAUUGGGCAAUGGGCGCAAGCCUGAACCAGCAACGCCGCGUGAAGGAUGAAGGCUCUCGGGUUGUAAACUUUCUUUAAGAGGGAAUAGCAGAAGACGGUACCUCUUUAAUAAGCCAAGGCUAACUACGUGCCAGCAGCCGCGGUAAUACGGAGGUGGCAAGCGUUGUCCGGAUUUACUGGGUGUAAAGGGCGUGUAGCCGGGCUGACAAGUCAGAUGUGAAAUCCCGUGGCUCAACCGUGGAACUGCAUUUGAAACUGGCGGUCUUGAGUAUAGGAGAGGCAGGCGGAAUUCGUAGUGUAGCGGUGAAAUGCGUAGAUAUUACGAGGAACACCGGUGGCGAAGGCGGCCUGCUAGACGGCAACUGACGUUGAGGCGCGAAAGUGUGGGGAGCAAACAGGAUUAGAUACCCCUGUAGUC